GGCGAGCCAAACCAACCUUUCUCUUUUUGGCGGGCUUAAUUGUUGAGUCAUGGUUUGUCGUUGGGCUCCAAAAAUUUAAUUCAUUUAGCUAAAAAUCGCCGGCUCUAUCCUGAGGUAAUACUGUUGAUUCUUAAUUCACCACCAGAAGCAAUGUACCGAUAACUUUUCGAUGUAAUCACUUCAUGGAAAAUCCUGUUUUCUCUUCUGCUGUCGUCUAAAAUUGGAAAUAAGAAUUUAUUAAUGGCGAGUCAUUCCCCGGUAUGAUCGAUCCGAUUAUCGCUCGGCGUGCUCGUCCUCGCAAUUUCGAGCGGCGUACAUCACCGUUCCCUCGGGUCUUCGCAAAUCGUUCGUCGCAGUUCGAUGAUGAUUCCCAUACGGCCUGGGAAAAAUGUCUGCGAAUAUCACAGGAUUUUACAGAGCUUCAAGUGGUGCAUCUAUGAAUACAUGGCUAUGUGCAUCGAUUACUAUGGAAUCACACGGAUUUCCUUUCGCGAGAGCGGGCGGAAUUAUCAUGGCCUUCAAGAACAUGGAAUCGAGUGAGUUCGCCGGUGCGGGGGAGGCAAUGGCCCGAGGAGAGCGCGCGAUCCACGAGGGUAACGGCAUCGAAUUCUGCGAAUGAUGUAUUGGAAGUAACUGCGGCCAAUAAAAAUCAAGCGCUUUCUCUGGCCCGCGUGAUUUGUGGCCGAUAAAUCAAAAGGGACCGCACUUCUUACACGCGCCGCUUAAGCGGAAACGUGUGGAAUCGUAUUCGGCUCAUGUGAUCACGCGAUUUCUAUUGAUCAUGUGACUCUGACGUCACAAAACCUAUCGUGCGCAAGAUCACUUCACGAGAUGGCGAUAGAGUGAUCACACGCGAGCGAGCGGCGUUCUACGUUUCACAUAUAUAUUUUCUCGUCCAAAGUGAAUUUGGAAAUUCAUCAUUGCUGCUUUUCAACGCGAUUAGAAGCUACGAGCGAUUGUUGUUUUGAGGAGCAAUUUCUUGGAAAUAGGCUGUGUUGUUGGAGCUAUGUGUUGUUGUCGUUGGAGCUACAUAUGUGUAAGGUUUGGAAUUACUGAAUAUAAUAAUCCGACCAGUUUUAUAAAGU